rnacentral:rRNA from 1 species
UGGGGAAUCUUGCGCAAUGCGCGAAAGCGUGACGCAGCAACGCCGCGUGGGGGAAGACGGCCUUAGGGUUGUAAACCCCUUUCAGGAGGGACGAAGGUCGGCGCGUUAAUAGCGUGUCCGACUGACGGUACCUCCACAAGAAGCCCCGGCUAACUACGUGCCAGCAGCCGCGGUAAUACGUAGGGGGCAAGCGUUGUCCGGAAUUAUUGGGCGUAAAGAGCGUGUAGGCGGUCCGGUAAGUCAGCUGUGAAAGUCAAGGGCUCAACCCUUGAAAGCCGGUUGAUACUGUCGGGCUAGAGUCCGGAAGAGGCGAGUGGAAUUCCCGGUGUAGCGGUGAAAUGCGCAGAUAUCGGGAGGAACACCAAUGGCGAAGGCAGCUCGCUGGGACGGUACUGACGCUGAGACGCGAAAGCGUGGGGAGCAAACAG